GACGAACGCUGGCGGCGUGCCUAAUACAUGCAAGUUGAGCGCUGAAGGUUGGUACUUGUACCAACUGGAUGAGCAGCGAACGGGUGAGUAACGCGUGGGGAAUCUGCCUUUGAGCGGGGGACAACAUUUGGAAACGAAUGCUAAUACCGCAUAAAAACUUUAAACACAAGUUUUAAGUUUGAAAGAUGCAAUUGCAUCACUCAAAGAUGAUCCCGCGUUGUAUUAGCUAGUUGGUGAGGUAAAGGCUCACCAAGGCGAUGAUACAUAGCCGACCUGAGAGGGUGAUCGGCCACAUUGGGACGGAGACACGGCCCAAACUCCUACGGGAGGCAGCAGUAGGGAAUCUUCGGCAAUGGACGAAAGUCUGACCGAGCAACGCCGCGGGAGUGAAGAAGGGUUUCGGAUCGUAAAACUCUGUUGGUAGAGAAGAACGUUGGUGAGAGUGGAAAGCUCAUCAAGUGACGGUAACUACACAGAAAGGGACGGCUAACUACGUG
rnacentral:rRNA from 1 species